AUUAGACAUCUCACCUGAGACACCAUCUUCGGUAAGUGUGCUCUUUGCCGCUACAGUUCAAUAUGAGCUGAGAGGAAGAAAGAAAAGCACCGUCAAACAAAACACCGAUACUGCUUCCUAUGCCUCAGUGUUUGCUCUCCAGCAGGUCUCAGCCAAGCCAGGAACAGCAAAAGGCUGCAGUCCCCAGGGCAGGAGAGGAAGGAAAGGCAUCCCUGGAGGAGGCACAGGGAGGUGGACACAUGGAGUGACCAUCCUGGAGGCCUGGAAUUAAAUUACAGCCGAAACAGCGCUCUCAGAGGGUCAAGCAGGGUCAGGGCACACAGCAGUGGUGUAACCUGGGCCCCGGUGGGGAGCUGCUCCCCUCGCACUCGUCUGCCUGAGCUCCUCUCCAGCUCCAAAUUGCUCAGGAUCAGCAAAUGCUCGUGGCCAGAAAUAAAAUGUGGCCAAUCGGGUAGGUGAGAGCCAGAGUGUGACAGGGGAACUGGCUCAGGCCUUUUGCACUUUGACACCGGGGUAAGGGUGCUGGUAAGUGUGCUCAAAAAGGGGCCUGAGCCAGCAGACAGGUGUGUGGGAGCAGGUGAGGUGGGACCUGCUAUCAGAGCAGCGUUUGACCUGUCAAAAAAAAAAAAAAGAAAAAGGAGCUCCGGAGAGAUUUUAGUUCUAAAGCCCCAAAUCAUGUCAUUUGACCAGAAAGAGCCUGAAAGGAUCAGAAAUAGGGUGAGGCUGUUAUCAGAUGUUGUCAGUAAAUGUUUCCACGGCCGCAUGGUAAAACUUAUUGUGGGCAGGUGAGGCAGGAGCCAAGCCCGGCAUGGGCAGGAGUGGGGCGGUGGUUCCAAAUCCAGGAGAUGCAAACAGCCCUGGGGACCCAUCUGAUGUGGGGCCAAGAGGUGUGUCCUGCCAGGGCUGGGCCCUGUUACCUCUCCCACAUCAGAUACAGGUUACGGAUUUCUGCAGCUCCGCUCGGGGAAUAACCCGAGGGCUGGCACGUGUGGCCGGCUGUGAAGAUCCUCGUGCUGUGGAGCUGGGAAUGAUGAUGGGCACGUUCACAUGUGUCAUGGCCACUCUGCAGCCACCAAGAUGCUCCCACUGCACGAAUCGGAACAGGAAACCAAGGGCAGAGGCGGAACGUACGGUGCUGUGACAUGGACCCAAGCGCAGAGUCCCGAGACCCAUGCAGGCAGGAAGAGACGUGUUUACCUGCAUAGAAAAAAAACCUGUGCAUCCUGGAAAUUGAAAAAUAAAAAGAGAGAGAAAUAAGAAGCCA